rnacentral:rRNA from 1 species
UACGUAGGGUGCGAGCGUUGUCCGGAAUUAUUGGGCGUAAAGGGCGCGUAGGCGGCUUGACAAGUCCCGGGUGAAAUCCCUCGGCUCAACCGAGGAACUGCCUUGGAAACUGUCUGGCUUGAGGCCGGGAGAGGGGUAGUGGAAUUCCCAGUGUAGCGGUGAAAUGCGUAGAUACUGGGAGGAACACCGGUGGCGAAGGCGGCUACCUGGACCGGUUCUGACGCUGAGGCGCGAAAGCGUGGGUAGCAAACAGG